UACAGAGGUCUCAAGCGUUGUUCGGAAUCACUGGGCGUAAAGGGUGCGUAGGCCGCACGGUAAGUCAGAGGUGAAAUCCCGGAGCUCAACUCCGGAAUGGCCUCCGAUACUGCCGUGCUCGAGGACUGGAGAGGAGUCUGGAAUUCACAGUGGAGCAGUGAAAUGCGCAGAUAUCAGGAAGAACACCCGUGGCGAAGGCGGCUCUCUGGGACGGUACUGACGCUGAGGCACGAAGGCCAGGGGAGCAAACGGG
rnacentral:rRNA from 1 species